AGUGAACGCUGGCGGCGUGCUUAACACAUGCAAGUCGAACGCGAAAAGGGGAGCAAUCCCCUGAGUAGAGUGGCGAACGGGUGAGUAAAGUGUGGGUAAUCUGUCUUUCAGAGGGGGAUAACCCGGGGAAACCUGGGCUAAUACCGCGUAAAGUUCAGAUCACCAAGGUGAUUUGAAUGAAAGGAUGGGGAACCGUAAGGUCCUAUCGCUGAGAGUUGAGCCCACAUCCUAUCACGCUUGUUGGUGGGGUAAAGGCCUACCAAGGCGACAACGGGUAGCCGGCCUGAGAGGGUGUCCGGCCACACUGGAACUGAGACACGGUCCAGACUCCUACGGGAGGCAGCAGUGGGGAAUUUUCGCAAUGGGCGCAAGCCUGACGAAGCAACGCCGCGUAGAGGAUGAAGGCCCUCGCGGUCGUAAACUCUUGUCUAGCGGGACGAAACUCUUGCAGAUGAAUAAUCAGCAGGAUUGACUGUACCGCUGGAGGAAGCUCCGGCCAACUCCGUGCC
rnacentral:rRNA from 1 species